UUUGUUAAAUGAAAUGCCAUAAUAUCCAGUGGGGUGAAGGUGGAAGGAACAGGCAUGCCUAUAUUCUGUUGGUAGAAAUGUAAAUAGAUUCAACUUUCAUGUGAGGGGUAUUUGGCAAUGCUACUUUUUAAAAAAUCCGAUGCACAUUAAACUUUUCACCCAGUAACUCAACUGCCAGGAAUUUUUUUUUUUUUUUUUUUUUUGAGACAGAGUCUUGCUCCAUCCCCAAGGCUGGAGUGCAAUGCCGUGGUCUUGGCUCAUGGCAACCUCCACCUCCCAGGUUCAAGCGAUUCUCCUGCCUCAGCCUCCCGAGCAGCUGAGAUUACAGGCGUGUGCCACCAUACCCAGCUAACUUUUGUAUUUUUUUUUUUAAGUAGAGACAGGGUUUCACCACAUUGGCCAGGCUGGCUUCAAACUCCUGACCUUGUGAUCUGCCUGGCUCAGCCUCCCAAAGUGCUGGGAUUACAGGCAUGAGCCAUCAUGCCCAGGCUGCCAGAAAAUUAUACCAUAAAUAUACUUGUAAAAAUAGGUGAAAUUACAUGUAUAA
rnacentral:lncRNA from 1 species